rnacentral:rRNA from 1 species
UACGUAGGGUCCGAGCGUUGUCCGGAGUUACUGGGCGUAAAGCGCGCGCAGGCGGCCCGGCAAGCAUGGCGGGAAAGCCCCCGGCUCAACCGGGGAGAGUCAUCGUGGACUGCCGGGCUUGAGGGCGGCAGGGGCUGGUGGAAUUCCCGGUGUAGUGGUGAAAUGCGUAGAGAUCGGGAGGAACACCCGUGGCGAAGGCGGCCAGCUGGGCCGGCCCUGACGCUGAGGCGCGAAGGCGUGGGGAGCGAACGGG